GAACGAUUCCCUGUUCAAGGCACCAUCGGCGCCGCCACCCCCACUUACAACCGCCUGCAACUGCUUCUCAAUGGAAGCCUUCUCAAUCUUCAAUCCAUUCAAAGCUUCAAUAGCAGCAUCAAUCUCGGGCUUGGCAGCACCGGCAGCCUUAAGGGCUCGAACAGCAUUGCCUUGAGCUUCAACAGCCGACAGCUUCUGAGAAAGG
rnacentral:misc_RNA from 1 species